rnacentral:rRNA from 1 species
GAUGAACGCUGGCGGCGUGCCUAAUACAUGCAAGUCGAACGAACAGAUGAGGAUCUUGCUCCUCUGACGUUAGCGGCUGACGAGUGAGUAACACGUGGAUGACCUACCUAUAAGUCUGGUAUAACUUCGGGAAACCGGAGCUAAUACCGGAUAAUCUAUUGAACCGCAUGGUUACAUAGUGACAGGCGGUUUUGCUGACACUUAUAGAUGGAUCAGCGCCGCAUUAGCUAGUUGGUAAGGUAACGGCUUAACAAGGCAACGAUGCGUAGCCGACCUCAGAGGGUGAUUGGCCACACGGGAACGGAGACAGGGCCCAGACACCGAGGGGAGGCAGCAGUAGGGAAUCUUCCGCAAUGGGCGAAAGCCUGACAGAGCAACGCCGCGGGAGGGAUGAAGGUGCGCGGAUCGGAAAACUCUGUUAUUAGGGAAGAAGAAAUGUGCAAGUAACUAUGCAGGUCUUGACGGUACCUAACCAGAAAGCCCCGGCUAACUACGUG